GGUCACUCCCAGCCACUGCCUGACAGCACGAUGUCUUUCACCAGGUCAGGGCAAACUUCUGUUUAAAGACGGGAGUUACUACGAAGGCGAGUUUGUGGACGGAGAGAUCACGGGAGAGGGCUGCCGGCACUGGGCCCUGACAGGUUAGCGGCCCGACGCUUUCCUCCUAAACCAACCCUGGUGUGAGCUGGCCCCUCCCUUCCGGGUGCAAAAGGCACUUCCAUCUGUAACCUGGGGACCCCUGGUUUCCCUGAGGUGUCUCGUAACAGCCUCGUGCCAGCCUGGGGCAGAGCGGCCACACUGCUGCCCGCAGAACCUCAGACCCCCACCGGCAAGCGGGUGUUGGGUUCUCAGCGGAGAGAAGCCUCACCCCAUGGACUGUGGCCUGGCGGGGCCUUUGCCCCCAGCACACAGAUGCCCCAGAGAGGGUCCCCUUGCGGUGGAGUCUGCACGCACACUGCUGGGAGGGAGGGAGUCCCAUUUCCCUCGUUCAGGGUGAGCAGUGAGAUAAAGGGACACCGUGUUCUGCUACCACUGCCCGGGGGUCGGGCAAGAACUACUGGUUAUCCUGCGGGACUCAGGAAACGAGUCUAACCCUGGACACCGCCUCCCGCCUCCCGUCCACACCAGGGAACACCUACACCGGACAGUUUGUUUUGGGAGAACCCCAAGGACACGGCGUCAUGAAGUACAAAGCCGGCGGACGUUACGAAGGGGAGCUCUUCCGCGGCCUGAGAGAAGGUCCGGGGUCCGCGGGGUGGACACGGGGGCCCGGACCCCAGCACUCCCCGGAUUCUGACUCGGGGCCUGAACGGGCCCGGGCGCGAGUGUGCUCCCCGGUCCGGUGCGGUUCAGAGCGCAGGGCUCACAGCGAGCCCCUCAAACCUGGUGACUCAGGUCCCCGCUCUGCCUUCGCCCUCGAUCCCGCGUCAGCGGUCUGGCCUGGGCUCGGCCGGGCGGGUCUCCUGGCCUUGCUGAGGGUCGCAGUGGCGCGACCAGCGCUGUGGGUCCUCUUGACCCUCGGCUCGGUCACCUCCUCCACGUCCCGUGGGACCCAGCGAGUCAGGAGGCCACAUUCCGGGGGCAGCGAGCGGAGCAGCCCCAGCCCCCGACAGCACGCCCGGCGCGGGCGCAGCUCUGCCCCCCUCCGAGGCCCCCCGCGAGGUGUCAGGGCGCCCUCCCCUUCCCGAGCGUGCAGGCCCUGAGACUCCGCUCCUCAGGGUCACUUCCUCUGGCCUCGGGGCCUCUGAGUAGACGGUGGAGGCCCAGCACGGCUGUCGGUCCUCAGCGCGCACUCGCACCUGCGAGCUGGCCUUGACCGCGCGGCAGCGCCACCGCAGCCGGACAGCAGAGCGUUUCAGUCUCCGAUGCUGGGGGGUCCGGGCGCCCCCACCCUCCCUCGGGACCUUGAGAGCUGGACCCAGAGCCGCUCCCGCUGCGUGUGGCUGCCAGGCCGCCCCAGAUCGGAUUGCGGGGCCGAGGGACCCCCAUGGGGCCCGGCUACAGGGGGUGCCGACCCCGUCCUUCUUGUAGACACCCCCCUCCCUCAACGGAGGCACGAGGUGGCCCUCGACCCUCGCCCCCCUCCAGGACGGGGGCACCUGGCGGACGCAGAUGGACAAGCUUGCUGGGGGUCGUUUCACGACAACAAGCGGCACGGCCAAGGGCGGAUGGUCUUCCGGAACGGAGAUGAGUACGAGGGCGACUGGGUCCGGGACCAGCGCCAGGGCCACGGGAUGCUGCGCCGUGCGGACGGCUCCAUCUGUGAGGUACUGGACCCACCGGCCGGGCGUCCUCUGCUCCCGGUGCCGCCCGGGGCGCAGCCCAGGUUGCUGCCCGUCUGACCCUGCGAGGUAGGGUUGGCCGCCGUUCCCGUUUUGCUGACGAAAAGAUGCGGUUCAGAGAGCUUAAGGGCCGCCCGCCAACACCUUUCCGUCCCGUCGGGUUCCUGAGACACGCCAUGACCCAGCGCUCUCCUGUGGGAAUGGCCUGGUGAAGCCUUUUUGAGAGGAGAUACCCGUGGGGUCCCAGUGCCCUCGACAACCUGGGGAAGCAGGCGAGGGCCCCUCCCCGCUCCUCGUGAGCAGGGCUCUGCGCCCCGCCCCCCAUCAUCGUGGCAGCUGCUACUCUCAGGUUGAUGGGGGGUUUUAGGUGCCACGAGGCCAAGAGAUGCAGGCACGUGGGAAGACCUUCUCGGGCUCCCAGAAUCCAUCAUCCUUGGGCUUCCUGGACGCCGGCCUGUGGGCCCAGCCGGCCCUGCAGAGAUGCAGCCAGGGGCCAGAGAAUGCCGCGUGAGCCAGGUCUGAAGGAUGGGAAAGGGCCGCCGCGUGGAGACCGCAUGGAAGGGCGUUGCAGGUAGCGGAAGGGCGAGGCUGGGCUCCGAGGCAGAAAGAAGCCUGCGUGGCCAGAGCAGGGGGCAGGGGAGGCAAGGCAGGAGGUCCGGGCAGUCCCACGCAUAGGCCCCGGAGCCACGAGCGGUUGGAGUUUUAUCCUACACAUCACAGAAAGUGCUGGAAGGAGCUGGUGACCUGAUCCCUGUGUUUGGAAGGUUUCUCUUGUUCUCACUCAUGGAAAGAGGUGAUGGCGGCCUGCAUGGGGUGUAGAACCAAAUUUGGGGUGGUUUGGAGUUACAGAUACUGGACUGGUUGACAAGAGCAGAAGCGAAGAUGUCCCUGCAUUUUUGGCCCAAGCGUCGGAUGGAUGGUGGUGAUGCCUGAACCAGAAUCCGCCGGAAGACAGAAGUCACACCAGUAAUUGAACGUGAAAGUAUCAACUAGUGAAAGACAGCAAAAUACUCAAAGGGGUAAAAGCAGGAAUAUGGCAAAAGCAAACGUGAAAGUGGCCCCAGGAGGCGCCCUCGAAGAUGGGGUGUGGGUACCGGCUGGUUGCAUCCUCGGGCCUGACCGCAUGGGCCUGAGGCCGUGGGAGAUGUGACUCUGGCCCGUGGUGGCUUUGGGAGUGACUGAGCUGCCACCGAGCUCGGCUGUGACACGCCAGCUGAACCUGGGCCUCGGGAGCCGCGGGUUGCACGUGGCUGUGGAUGUAGUGACGGCGGCCACGAGGCCCCUGGUGUCCUGGACGGGAGCUCAGGUCCGCACUCAGCUCCAGCCACGGCCCUGAGAGUCCCUCACUUCUCACAGCCUCAGGGCUGAAACAAAAUUUGAUCGUGUGGGUUGCAGAAUUAGGUUGUCAGCUGAAUUCAUAUCUCUGCGAAGUCUCUCAUGUGAAAGUCAGAGUGGAGAUUGGGAAGGAAGUCCCGGGAGACGAGGGAAAGCCCAGCCCCUCUGGAGACUCAGACCCUGCAGACAGAGGGUGUGGCCGCGGCCCGCUGGGUUGGAGGAGCUUCCCUGGGCGUCGGCUACCAGCCGGGCCGUGUGUGCAGGAAACCCUGGGACACAGAGGAACUCGCCCAGGACAAACCCCUGUGCCUGAGGGGUUAGGAGUGGGCACCCUGGAGCCCGAGGGAAGCCUGUUCCCUGCAGGGUCCCUGCAGCACUCAGCACGGCAGCAGCUGGCAAAGCGACACGUUUCAGGGUCCAGUUCCCAGAGCCCAGAGUCGGCAGGAAGGGUCGUUUUGGGGCCGAGAGGCAGUAAGCUGGUAACUGGCCGGGGCCCUGCCUGAGAUGGAAUGGCCUGCUGGGGAGCGUGGAGUCUUGCCCUGGCUGCGAGCUCCCCCAGGCAUGCUCACCUUGCCUGCUUGUAAAACGCGGAGCUCUGCUUAGGUAACACCCCCUCCCGGGCCCCCUCCUGGGACCGCAAGUCCUGGUCUGGGGAGCCAGCCACUCCCGGGGUGCCGCCUGGGCCGCUGCGGUUGGCAGUUUGCGCCAGAGCCCAUUUGCAGAUGCCACUGUGCCCCGGCCAGAGCCCUGCUGCUUCUCCCCAAGGGGGAUGUCUGUCCAUCGUCAUGGGGCCAGGCUUUGGGGCUCACCCUGGGCAGCCACGGUCCCUGGGCUGAAUUCUCCAGAGCUGCCACGGAGGAGAGGAACGCGGGGGGGCCUGGGAGGAUCCUCCUCGCUCGGCACCCCCAACAGUGUCCACGCCUUGUAGGCUGGGGGCGCGGGGGCGCGGUUCUAGUGCCCGGCACUGCCCUCAGCUGCCCUCUGGCUCCCCGACUCUCUCGACCACCGUUCCAAAGACGAGGAGGCCUCCCAAACCAGGGGGUGGCCGAGCCCUCGCCUUCUUCCAGAGAAUCCCGCAGGCCUCCGCCCCCGCCCUCCACCCCGCGUGCCCUUCCCCCAGAGGCAGUUUGGGCGCCUCCAGGGCCUCCCCAUCAGCGGCCUGGGCACUGGGGGCCCUGCUCGGGCCUCCCCGGCAAGUCGCUGCUCAGCCGGGGGGCUGGGGGUUCCCCGCCGCCAUCCACCAGGGGGCAGCCCGGCCCUGCCGACCGCCUGGCCCUGCAGGGGCCUCCUCCACUGGCUGCGGAGCUAGAGCCGCUUCCCUCCAAGCGGAUGCCCAGUGGACGCCGGCUUGGAUGUCAGGCGAGGGGCCGGCGGCUUCGUCCCCCGGGCGCUUUGCAGGUGAACGAAGGUCCUUCCCCAGGGUUCAGACCGUCCGCCUGCGUUCCCGCUGUUCAGCGAUGCCCCAGCCUCCCAGGGCCGCGCACUCAGACGACCUGCCCGCGCGACCCAGACCCUGAGCCCCGGGACACGCAGCCCCGCGGUCGGGAAGCGCUGCCCGCACCCACAGUCGCAGCCAUGACCAUGUCCUGAGGGCCCCGGGAGGACACCCAGGCCCUGAGUCCCUGCGUCCCAAACAGCUUCCCGACGGUGUGGACACAGGAGCUCCCAGCUCUCAGCGCCCGCCUCUCCGUGCAGUGGGGAUGCCUCCUGCGCCUGACCUCUAACCUGCGACCUCUGGGCAUGAAGGGUCACCUGGGAGAGGUGGAGCCGCCAGAGGGAGUUGGCAUGUCUCCCAUGAGGGUACAGCUGUCCCCAAGCUUUCACUAGGCAAAUAGCUUUCUCUGUUUUUUAACUUUAUUGCAAAAUACACGUAACGUAAAAUUUAUCACCUCAUCCAUUUAUAAGUGCCCAGCUCGGUGGCAUUAAGCACAUUCACAUUGUUGUGCAGCCAUCACCACCGUCAUUUCCAGAACUUUCUCCUUUUCCCACACUGAAGCUCUGCCCCCGUGAGACACUCCCUCCCCACCCCUCCCCAGUCCCCGGCCCCCACCCUCCUACUUUCUGUCCCUAUGGAUCUCCUCCAGGGACCUCGCAGAAGUGGGAUCACGUAGGAUGUGUCCUUUCGUGUCUAGUUCAUUUGACUCGGCGUCGUGUCCUCUAGGUGCAUCCACGGUGGCGCAGGGGUCAGGACCUCCUUCCUUUUCCGGGCUGGCUCCUGCUCCGCCGUGUGGGUGGUCCUUCCACGCUGCGCCCAGCUGCUCAUCCAUCAAUGGGCACUCGGUCUGUGUCCACCUCUCGGCGCCUGUGAGUGACGCCACCGUGAGCACAUCCUGCUCCCAGUUUUGGGAGCAGCGCAACUGCUGGGUCACGUGGUGAUUCUAUUUUUAACGUUUUGAGGAACCUCCACACCGUUUUGCAUUUUCCAUUCCCACCAGCAGCACACCAGCGUUCCAGUUUCUCCACAUCCUCUCCCAGCGCUUGUGUUUUCUGGGGUUUUUUGGUUCGUUUUUUGUUUAUUUAUUUAUUUAAUUAUUUAUUUAUUUUUGGCUGUGUUGGGUCUUCGUUGCUGCGCAUGGGCUUUCUCUAGUUGUGGCGAGCGGGGGCUACUCUUUGUUGCGGUGCGCAGGCUUCUCAUUGCAGUGGCUUCUCGUUGUGGAGCACGGGCUCUAGGCGUGCGGGCUUCAGUAGUUGUGGCGCGCGGGCUCUAGAGUGCAGGCUCAGUAGUUGUGGUGCACGGGCUUAGUUGCUCUGCGGCAUGCGGGAUCUUCAUGGACUUCCAGGGCUCGAACCCGUGUCCCCCGCGUUGGCAGGUGGAUUAACCACUGCACCGCCAGGGAAGUCCCAUGUUUUCUGCUUUUUAAAUAAGCACGGUGCUAAUGAAGUGAUGAAGAGGCAGGCAGCCCCUCAGAGAGCAGCGUCCUCCGGGGCCGCCUCCGUGGAGCCUGGGGACGGAUUGUGGGCUGUGGAGGCGAGUGCACACCUGGCGGAGGGGACAGAGGGGUGCUGUCCGGUGAGCCUCAGCCUCUGCACACGGAACGUUCCUACCUGUGCCGUGGUGCCGCCAGCAGUGCGCUUCCGCCCGCCCCAGGGCACCUCCGUGCGCAUUGGCUGCGUUUCUCGUGUUGGCGUUCCUCUGCAUUUCCCGAAGGGAGGCCUGCUGGGCGGCGCACCUGCUCACCGCACGGAGCAGGUGGUCGGCCUCGUGCGCAUCUUCACCUGCUGGUGGCUCUCCUCACCUGCGCACCUGUAGGAAUGCCAGGGGCUCCGUGUCCCCGUGCCACUGUCCUGGCCGGGAGGUCACAGUCCAGGAAUGGGGGCCUGACCGUGAGAAGCAUCUGGGCCCACUGGAGCGUCGUGGGAGGAGGGGCCUGGGCUGCCAGAGCAGAUCCAGCACUGCCCCACGUUCCCGGUGGGGUUCUACACAGACGGAUGUCAGAACCUGGCGUGUGAAGGCAGCUUGUAUUUACAUCAGCAGAACUUGUGUCACACUUUGAAAUCCGAGGAACUUAUGGCCAGGAUUGUGGAGGUCAAAGACACCUUAGGGACCCUGCUGCUAGUUGGGAAGUGAGGAGCAUUGUGUCUGCAGAGAAUGAUGGGCAGGGGCCACCAGCACUCUGGCCUGUGUGGCCACUGCUGCCCCAGCAGGCCACCCCGAAAGCUGGAGCCCCCGGCCCCCUGCGGCCACAGGCCCAGGCAGGUGACCCGGGGCCACGCCCCUCCCUGGUCUAGGAGCCGUGGCCUCAGGAAAGUCCUCACCUGCUCCAGGAAGGAGUUUGGCGACAGUGGGACGUCACCUCCUGCAGACUGGAUGCCAUCAAAGCAGAUGUUGUGGAGAGCUGGGCCCGGGCCCCUCCUGGUGUGGUCGGCCAAACCCCGGUGCCCCGGAGAGGACUGGAGGUGGGGAAGAGCUGGAUGAGCUGGGAAGGUGGGCUUCUGACCGGGGCGGAGAUUCAGAGUGUGCCUGGGAGUGCCUGAAGACGCAUCGGGGCAAGGCAGCCGCAGAAGCAAUUCCAGGAAAAGCACCGUCACUUUCCCCGGGAAAGAAAAAUAGCAUCAGUUAACUAGAAAGUGCUUCCCGAAAUGAGAAGAGUCAAGUGUGUAUUUCUCACAAUUUAUUCAAACUCGUGUGGUGGGGAAGGCACCCAAGGAGCCCCUCGUCCCACCCCCGACUCCGUGCUCUUCAAAGAAAGGACCAGGGAAGGAGUCCUGAGCACGUAGGUCCCCAUCCUGGAGCUGAGAGGCCCUGGGGUUGCCCCAGCCACCGCCGGCCACGAGGUGCGCCCCACUCACCCCGCGGGGCCUCUCCUAACGGGGACCCCGUCCCCCCCGUGCUUCGUGUGCAGUGUGGCCCGGCCGUCCUCGCAUCCUCCUGCGCUGCGUCAGCCGCACACAGGUCCUCACCUGGACGGGGAGGAGGAGGGAGAGCCGGCAGGCGCGUAAGACACAUUAACACCUGUUUGUUCGUGCUCUGGUGCACAUCAGCUGACUGAGAAAGGGCAGGAUUUUCAAAAGCAUGAUUUGUAACAUUAAUUAGAUUCUGCGCUGUUGGAUGAGUUACUCUGCUGGAGUGUAUCGUGUAUCUGUCCCGGGAAAGUUCUGUGUUGCAGCCUGAGCUAGGGGGGGGUGGGUCUCAGAUUACGGGAGCGCGAUUGAGCGGUCGGUCAACGCGUGGAUGACCGUGGAUGCCCGUCAACGUGCUCGCGUGGAUGGCAAGCACCAGACAGCGACUUGGCGGGGAGCCCGACCCUGCGCACAGCCAGCGGGGCGGGGUGGGCCGGGGCCCCGUGGUCUGAUAGGCACGUUCACUGCCCGUCUGCUCUGCACGCGGCAGCCCGUGCGCCGCAGGCCGUGCUCCAAGGCUCUGUGGGCUGGACCCGCCUGAGUCUGCCCCUGGCUCCUGGGCGACCCCGAGGCCCUGCCUGCCUUCUUCCUGAAAGCCCACGCUGCACCUUCACAGAGGGCCGAGGGGCCGGGCAGGGCGCGCGGAGACGUGGACCCCGACACGGUCGAGGGGCCCAGUGGCCAUCGUGCUGUUUGGAGAGUAGCCCGCGCUCAUUCGAGCCCUAGUUGUCCCCACGGAGCCCUGCCCUGGGAAGCUCGUGCCCCAAGCAGACAGACAGACAGACGAGACGGGACCACGGCUGAGAGGGAAGGGAGAGGCCGCUGGGAGGGGCCCACGGGGCGCCACAGAGCUCGGCCCUCUUUGGCGGGAGCGCUCGGCGUCACGUGAUGGAGCAGCUCGAAGGGAGGCCAAGGCCGUGUCGUGGGGGCAGGCAGGCGUGCACACUGAGCUCCUGCCACUUCCCCACGGCUGGAAUCCCUGUCUCCCACCUGCCCCUGGGCGUCCACUCCCGUCCACCCCGCGGAGGCGGUGACCCCAGUAGCGCUGCCCAGGACGGGGAUGAGGCCUGCGGUCGUGCGGGCAGGCAGCACACUGGCCCCGGGCACCGAGCGGGCGCAGCUCCUGCUGGGGGGGGUGAGGGGGAGGCAGCCGGGCCCCACAGGAGGGUGUUUGGAGGCGACCACCCUUCCCCGGGGCCACCGGCCCACUGCCCAGGCACCCCAGCACAGAGCCUCAGAAGAGGGCAUGAACCUCUAUGUAAAAGGGCUGCGGGUUGGGGCGAUGAGUUCAUUUGGCUCCUGAGAGGCUGCGUUCCAUUGGCCGUGAGACCUGCUUUCCGAGUUGAAACGGGUCACUUCUCAGGCCUGGGGAUGGCGUCGUGAGGGAAGCAAAGGGUUCCAGCGACUCGUUCAGCACCACUGCCCCCAGCAAACCGACUCCUGGCGGCUCAAGCUGGGAAAGCUCUGACAUCCAUUUGGUCUACACAGCUCGGGGGCGGGGGGGCAGGGGGCGGGGGGCGGCGACCCUGCCCCCCAGGGCUGUCCCCACCCGGACUGAGGGACAGUGGCCCAGCUCGGCCCAGGACCCUCCUGCUCUGCUCCCCCCCAGCCACCCCGCCCAUCGCGGUCACUGAGCACUGCUGCCCCCACCGCACAGACACAGGCACGGGGGCGCACGCCCGCGUGCACGCACACCUGCACACAGCGUCCCUUCCUGGGAGCAGACGUCUGGCCCAGCAGAUGCUGCGUGCAGGCCGCACUGGCUCCGGGGAUGGCCAGCUGGCGAUGCCGGGGCUCCCCAGCGCCAGCCCAGGACGGCAGCGCGGGGCCCGCUGGGUUGGCUGCGGUCCCCCUCUGCCGUGAUACCUGGGGCCUCGCCCCCUCUUUGGCCUGGCACGCUGCCUGCAGACGUGAGCCACGUCUUAGGGGACGUCGAUAGACCGUCUGCGGUGUCAGGCGUGCUGGCACCGAGCUUUCCGGGAAUGCAGCCUGCGUGUGGGCCCAGAGGGCUCAGCUCUCUGGGUCGGGGGGCCGGAGGGACGAGGCCACCCGUGGGGGGCACAGCCACGCCUCUGCCCAGCUGGCAGCCGGCCGCUCCUGCAGCCGCGAGCCGUUGCUUUGCCGCUGCUGCCAGGCACCCACCGGGCGCCACGGUUGUCUGGUGCCCCUCUUCCCUGUCACCUUGUAACGUGAGCACAGUGACCCAAACAGCCGUGGAACCUGUCCCCCCAAAUCCUGGGGUGUCUGAGCUCUUCAGGGGCCGUUCCCACAGGCCCCACCUGCCAGGCGGCCCCUCCCGAGGGCCUGACAGACUCCUGCAACGGAGCCCGGCCCCAGCUGCUGGGCGGCCUCGGGCCGCUCGGAGGGCUGGGCAGGAAAGCGGGAGCCCAGUCAACUUCUGCCAAAGAGUGAAAGAACCAAAACGUGCCUUUGGCUAAUUCUUCUUCUAAUGGGAGUAAUUCAUAGUUGAGUAAAAUACCAUUAGGAUCCCGAACUUCUCCACGAAAACAAUUUUCCUGCUCUUUCCACCAUUCUUCCACACUGUCGUGUGUAUCGUUUGCAAAGCAGGCUUAUUAUGGGGGUGGCAGAGUUGGGGUGGGCAGCGAGUUGGCACUGCCCCCAGGGUGCGGCUGUGUGGGUGCACAGUGUGACUUUAAUUGGCCUUUUUAUUAUCAAGGAGCCGGUCGGAACGCUGAGCUCCUCGACCCGCGAGCCUCUGCUCGCCCACCUGCACGGUCGGGACUCUGCACAAAUGCAGUAUCUCGGUGUUAAAAGGCUUUUGUGCUAAAAAGUGUGCCCUUUGGAGCCGUAUUUUCUUUGCAUUUUGUGUUCGGGCCGUUGUCUCCAAACUUCCUGGCUUCUGAAAAUUCAAAGGGCAGCGCCUUCUGCGGAGCAAAUUGGCUUCCCGGCAGCCUGUGGUCCCCAGGGGCCCUCGGAGCCUGGGGGGCCGCCGGGCCGUGCGGCAGGGAGACCAGCCCGUCUGAGCCCGUGGUUCUCUCCGCAGGGACAGUGGCACGGUGACGUGUUCAGGGGACAGGGCAGCAUGGCCCACUGCUCCGGGGGCGUCUACCGAGGGGUGUGGAUCAAUGGCCACCCCAUGGGUAGGUGCCCCCGGCCUUGCCGCUGGCCCCGUGGGGUCCUCUCGUGGGGUCACGUCUGGGUCUGGCCGUGUCCUUUCUCGGGUGGCCCUGGGCAGUCUCGCGGGAGGCGUGGACCAAGCGGGGCUGGAUGGAGUGGAGCCCAGAGUCCCCUUUUGGGAGGAACAUGCUCUGCUGUGGUCUCACGGGGCUCGUGACGCGCAGAGGCCCCCGUCAGACCCUGGACCCAAGUGGUCCUGCUUCAAGCGGGGCUCCUAGCCUCGGGGUCUCCCACUCGCGGGGCUCUGGGCAUCUGGUCCCCCUGCGCAGCCUCCAUCCAGCCCCCCACCCUGAGCUCUCCGCACUGCAGUGUGCGCACAGGUGGCCUGUGGCCUGCAGGGUCCUCUGCCAGCGCCACACCUUCCCCGUGUUGCCCCCGGGCGCGGGAGCUUCUGUUAGACUCCAGGGACUCGGAUCACUAGUCAGAACCUUGGUGCCAGGUCCAUGGGCGCAGCUGCUCACUCAGAGCUGCGGGUGGACCCUGCUCGCCAGGCCGGCUCCCGGGCAGGUGGCCGCAGCCUCGUCCAGCACUCAUCAGAUCACUGACAGACGCACGCAAUGCAGGGCCCAGGUCCAAGCAGUGGGCGGGAGGGAGGCCGUGCGGGAACGUGCCCCGGGUGCACUGGGCACUGCUGGGCCGUCACCUCAGCUCUGCCGCCCCCCUACCGUGAUCAGGUCAGUUCUGAGACGACCCACUUCAAAUCACUGUAGGCGGCCCUCAGGACGGGGUUAAGGUCACGGCGUCAGUGACGGUCCCCCAGCCCUGACAGCUGUGCCAUCCAUGCGCCCCCCCCGCCCCCCGCAGCGCCCCUCAGGGACACGGUCAGGCCUGAGCGGCUGCACAGGGCAUGUGGGAUGCAGGAUGCAGCCCCGUGGCACUCACCGCCCUGACCCCACGACAGGUGCGCUCUGCUCUCCCCAGCACAAGCCACAGGGAUCGUGAUUUUGGGUCCGGAGGUGAUGGAUGUGGCCCGGGGAUCUUCCUUCACGUUGACCAUUCAGCUGCAGCGGGACGAUGGGGAAGUUGCCACGGGCACCACAAACGCCUUUUCCUGGACACGGAGCGUGGAGGGAAUCUCACCUGUGGUCGCGCUCCGCCCCUCCCUCCCGCCCCGCGCGCAGCGCUGCUCUCCUCUUUGUGGACCACUAGCCUCCCAUCCUGCCCGCCCAGCGCUUUGCUCACCUGCGUCCGUGGGCGACAGUCCAGUCCUUGGCACUUGGCUGCUGUGAACAUUCAUGUGCAGGUUUUUGUGUAAACAUGUUUCAUUUCUCCCAGGUAUAUAUUUAUGAGUAGAAUUGUUGGGUCAAUUGUUGGGUAGGUUUGUGUUUAAAUUUUUCAAGAAACGGCCAAACUCUUUUCCAAAGUGGCUGCACCAUUUUACCAUCCAUUAGCAACGUACGAAGGUUCUGAUUUCUCCACGUCCUCGCCAGGGAGUAGCCAUCCUGAGGAUGUCAGGUGGCAUCUCCUCAUGGAUUUUUUUUUCUUUGUUUUUGUUUGUUUGUUUGUUUUUUGGGUUUUUUUUAAUUUUUUGGCCACGCCACACGGCAUGCAGGAUCCUAGUUCCCCGACCAGGGAUCGAACCUGCCCCCCCUGCAAUGAAAGCACAGAGUCUUAACCACUGGACCACCAGAGAAGUCCCUCCUCAUGGUUUUGAUGUGCAUUUCCCUAAAACUAAUGAUGUUGAGCAUCUUCUCAUGUGCUCAUUGGCCGUUUGUACGUCUUCCACAGAGAAAUGUUUAUUCAUAUAUUUCACCUUUUUUUUUUUUUUGAUUGGGUUGUUUGUCUUAGUUUUUAGUUAUACAAGUUCUUUAUGUAUUCUGGAUACAAGUGCUUUAGCAGAUAUAUAUUUGCAGAUAUUUUCUUUCAGUCUGUGGCUUAUCUUUUAAUCUUCCAAUGUUGUCUUUUGAAGGGCACAAUUUAAAAAUUUUGAUGAAGUACAGUUUGUCAGUUUUUUCGUUUAUGGACCAUGUUCUUGGUGAUUUGUCUAAGGAUUCUUAGCCCAAAUUCACAGAGACUUUCUCCUGUUUUCUUGUACAACUUUUGCUCUUACAUUUAGGUCUCUGAUCCCUCUUGAAUUAAUUUUUGUGGGUAAGAUAGAGGUCUAAAUUCAUCUUUUUUCAUGUGGACUCCAGUUGUCCUAGUGCCAUGUGUUGAAAAGACUGUCCUUUCCCCACUGAAUUGCCUGGGCACCUUGGUCAGAAGUCACUUGACUGUAAGGGUGAGGGUUUAUGUCUGGACGUCAGUUCUGUCCCCCGAUCGAUGAGUCUAUCCUUAGGCCACUGCCACGCCAUCUUGAUUAUUGCAGCCUUCCAGUACGUUUUGAAACUGGAGAUUCCUCCAACUUUGUUCUUCUUUUUCAAAAUUGUUUUGGCUAAUCUGGGACCUCUGUAUUUCCAUAUAAAUAUUUUAGGAUCCGCUUGUCCAUUUCUGUCCCCCCAAAAAGGAAAGAAAACAAGCUGCUGGGGUUUUGUUAGGGAUGCAUUGACUCCAGCUGGGAGAACCGCCAGUAGCAGCACUGAAUCCUCUGCUUCAUGAACAUGAGACAUCUCUCCACCUGUUUUUCUUUACGUUCAUCAAUGUUUGUAUUUUUCAGUGAGCAAGUCUCGCACUUUUCUUAAAUUUAUUAAUAAACGAUCAAUGAUUUAUUAUUGUUUAAUUAUAGUUUGUUUAUUAAUACAUUUGUUACAUUCUUUUAUGCUAUUAUAAAUGGAAUUGUUUUGUUAUCUUCACUUCAGAAAUUACGAGACUACGGUUGAUUUUUACAUGUUGAUCUUAUAUUCUCUGACCUUGCUGGUUGUUUCUGAGGAUUUCUUAGGAUUUUCUAUAUACAGGAUCAUGUCGUCUACAAAUAAAUGCAAUUUUACUUCUUC